CAGUAGCCGCGGUAAUACAGAGGGUGCGAGCGUUAAUCGGAUUUACUGGGCGUAAAGCGUGCGUAGGCGGCUUCUUAAGUCGGAUGUGAAAUCCCUGAGCUUAACUUAGGAAUUGCAUUCGAUACUGGGAAGCUAGAGUAUGGGAGAGGAUGGUAGAAUUCCAGGUGUAGCGGUGAAAUGCGUAGAGAUCUGGAGUAAUACCGAUGGCGAAGGCAGCCAUCUGGCCUAAUACUGACGCUGAGGUACGAAAGCAUGGGGAGCAAACAGGAUUAGAUACCCCAGUAGUCCCUGUCUCUUAUAU
rnacentral:rRNA from 1 species